ACUCACUCGCUCCUACUAGCUCUCUCGCUCGCCGCUCUCCGUCUCCUCCCCGUCGCCGCUCUCUCUCUCUCUCUCCCCUCCGGCAACGCCCUCUCCCUCUCCUCGUCGCCGCUCUCUCACUCUCCUCGUCGCCGCCCUCUCCUCUCCCCGUCGCCGUCCUCUCCCUCUCCCCGUCGCUGGCCUCUUCCACCGCCCUUUUUCCUCACCACCCCGCCUCCACUCAUACCCCGUAAGUCAACAAAAUAUCGAUUCUUUUUGCGCCGGCGACGAGCUUCUAGGCGAAGGACGUGUGGAUGUGUAGCGGCGCCAGAGCUCGAUAUAGGCAACGAAGGCGUGGACGUGGAUCGGUGCCCGAGCGGCGGAUCUGGAGCGGCGGAUCUGGAGCGGCGCCCGAGCAACGGAGGGAGAUGGAGUUCCCUCCUGGCGUGGCGGCUCGAUCUGCAACGCCCGCAGCUGCGGUACGCCACCCUCGCUGCUGUCGCAGGGAGAUGCCGCUCUUCCCCUUCCCGGUCCGCCCUGAUGUGGUUUCCUCUCCGUGACCCGUCAUCGGAGGCACGGCCAGAGGCAUCCCCGCCGCGUGCAGCUGCUACUCCCGGAUGCCGCCGCCGCCCUCCGCAAGGAGCGACGAUAACCUGAAGCUCUGCGGCCCGGUGUGCGCCGAGCGGCGCGCCGCGGGGGCACCGUCGCCGGCCGGCCACACGACAUCGCUCUCGUCCAGCUAGAAGCAUGCGCUGUCGUGGCCUGCCUCCGGCUGCUUCAGCAGGCCAAGAAACUGGAACGCACCCAUGCCCGGCGACCUCAGCAUCUCCAUCGAUGAUGAUAAUUUGAUCGAAAAGGGACGGCAUGCUGAGGUGUACAAAGGACAGCUUGCUGAUUGAUAGUUUGUGGCAGUGAAGAGGUUAACAAAAAUACUUAACCAAGCAUGCUGAGGUGAGCAGAGUAGAGACUGCCUACGAUCAUGAUCUAGAGUAGCAUGGAGUAAAAUGUUUGCAAGAGUACAUUUACAGGCAUGAGUACAAUGAAUUAACCAAUUGUUGUCAGUUGAAACUUAAAGUUCAGACAUGAAGUAGUCUUAGAGACCCAUGUACUCCUUGUAUUCAUGUUGUCAGUUGAAGUUGGUGUUUGCAAGAGUACAUUUACAGGCAUGAGUACAAUGAAUUAACCAAUUGUUGUCAGUUGAAACUUAAAGUUCAGACAUGAAGUAGUCUUAGAGACCCAUGUACUCCUUGUAUUCAUGUUGUCAGUUGAAGUUGGUAUCUUGCUUGUUUCCAAGUCUUGCGGUUGUACAUGAUGGUUUCAUCAAAUGGAUGUGAACUGAAUGUAUGUCCAGUUUACACCGAUGUAACCUGAUUCUGAAAGAAUGCCACAUACAGAUGGCGUCGACCUUGGCCUCCUCGUCGAUCUGACUCUGCAUUAAGAAAACUUGCUGGCAUCAAGUGUCCCCCUUCCUCCACCGGCAGCCUUCCAUCGAAUUCACAUCAGAAAACUUCAUUCAUUCACCCAGAAAAAAUAACUGACAUUGCCAACAUCUCACAAGAAAGAAGAGAGCAGAGUUGAAGUUGCGAGCCUGUUUACUUGCAGCUACACCUGUGUUCUUCUUCUUCUUCGCAGAAUCAAUCAGAUUCUCUUGAUUGGAGUGGAGAGGAGCAGAGACGAGAGGAGCAGCAGAAGUGGACAGCGCAACGGCUGACCUCGAGCUCUUGAUUGGAGUUGGGGCAGGCGGCCGGCGAAGGAUCUGUGGCCAACAGUGAAGGAUCCGAAGCUGUGGCGGAGCAGGCAGCCGGCGGGAAGGGCGGCCGGCGAGGGAGCUGCGGACCGCGGCGGGGAAGGGCGGCCGAUGAGGGAGCUGCGGACCGUGGCCGGGAAGGACGCCAGAGAUGCGGACGACGGAGGAGCCUGGCGAAAGGGAACAGCGACGGCGUAGAAGCCUGGCGGAGGGGAGGAGCGACGGAGGAAGACGCCUCCCGAUUGAUUUCAAAUCGGGGGUAGUAUUGUACUUUCACACUGUUUCACCUGGUCGGAACGACGCCCCCAGCGACAAUUAUUUCGGAACGGAGGGAGUAAAUAGUGGUAGACAUCGUGCAUGGAGAACACAUAUACUACGUCUGUUCCAUCCAAUAAAAAAGAAUCAAAUAUAUGCAUCUAAUUCUCCGUCA